rnacentral:lncRNA from 1 species
AAAAUUUAUAGUUUAUAGGUCAAAGAAUCAUACACAGACUUUUAUUUUAGUAGUUUUAACAAUUUAUUCUAUUAUCUAUGCUGGAAAAUUUCGAGAAAGUUUCAUUUGGAUUUAAAACCUUGAUUCAAGAAAGGAAGGGUACAGUAAUUUAAAAUAAUUUCUAUGUUAAAAAACAGUAUAAGGGAAUUAACAAUUAUAUGAUGUGCAUUAUAUCCAUGAGAAUGAAGUGUUUUAACAAACUUGACCAUUAUUUUACAGAUGAGAGAAUGACUUGAGCAGACCAUAUUUGGGUCAUAGAUGGCAAUAACAAUAAAAUAAAAUAUAUUAUAAUUAUCAUUCUUCAUUACUUUUUGAUUGUAUCAACAAACUUUAUUUAAUAACAAAAAUUUUUUUUAUUUCCAGUAACAAUACAUCCAGUCAGAAGAAUAAUUUUACUGGGAGUGAAAAUUUGAUACCUGGAACCAGCAAUUUAUAUGAAAUUUGAAAAGAGAGAGAUAUUCAUGUACAGAAUGGUAACCGAGGUGGUUCGAGUGAAUAUAAGAAGACAUUUGUGUUGAACUUAUGCAGGAUUGAAUAAAUGAAACUUAAGCCGACUAUGGGCUCAAAGUGUAGAAAAAAGAGGAUUUUUAAAUAUGCAAGACUUUCAACAUUAAAAUGUGUAUAAGUGAAAUGUCACCAUAUUUAGUAAAAUAUUCAGAUUAUUCAC